GCUGACAGCACAACAAUCUCAGAGAGUUUUGGCCUCAGCCGUUUGACUCUAAUCAGGAAAUCAUUUUUAGAAAGAUUUGUCAGUGUAAGAAAACAAGCUCCUGAACUAAAUUAGGAUCUGGAUUAUUUUUCCCUCCUCUCUCGAUCUGCAGUGCAAGGCAGAGUGGUGAGCCAUCACGGUUUUGUGUGUGGUGAAUUUGUUUCCACUGCACAUUUUAAUUCGGAGCUCCUGAAGGUGUCUGUGUUUGUAAGGACUGUGUUUUUGGAGCUGCUCCCUCGGAGUAAUGAAUUCACGGCAUGUCUCUGGGAAAUUAAGGUUUCUUUUCUGGGAGCUGCUAUCACUGAAUACAUAAAGAAAUUGAGCCUAUAUGAUUUCAAUCUUCACCUUCUGAUGCUGAUGAAACAGGAUUCUAUGCAGUUUACAGGGGGCCUGGAGGAAUGAAUCAGUGGCAGUGAGUGACAGAGUGGUCUCAGCAGGAAGAGGUGGAGGCAACGCUGGGAUUUGGAAAUGCCUCU
rnacentral:lncRNA from 1 species